UCAGCGCAAAUCUGGUGAAGCCGUCGGUUUUAAUCGGAGCUGGACAGACUACAAAGUAGGAUUUGGAAGUUUUGAUCACAAUUUCUGGCUAGGGUUAGAUCUACUACAUAAAAUGACUAAAAGCGGAGUUUACAUCUUGCGUAUUGAUGUACAUGGAUGCGACAAGAUGGAAUUUGCAAUAUUUAAAAAUUUCAGAAUGGAAGGCCCACGUACGAACUAUGUAUUCAAAUCUGACAGUGCUUGCCGUCACGGUGUUUUUUACAACCUAUGUGACUGUGCUGUCAAUGCACCCUUUUCAACAUACGACAAAAACACAUAUCGAGGUUCCGUUGCUGUAAAAGCUGGAUGGUGGAGCAAAUGUGGUCUCGAUACGAUUAACCUUAAUGCAGAUCUUUACUGUUCUGUAACUAUAUCUAGAUUUACCCCAGGCCAAAAUCAUUAUAUGCUCAAGAAUACGCAGUCUGCAAAUUCGAAACCCGUUAUCUACACCGAAAUGAAAUUUCUUUCCACAUAAAAAGCGAACCUAAAAUUCAGUUUCCGCCAUCUGUCAUCGUUGUAGCGCAAUACGGGGUAG